rnacentral:rRNA from 1 species
AGAGUUUGAUUCUGGCUCAGGAUGAACGCUGGCGGCGUGCCUAACACAUGCAAGUCGAGCGUGAAGUUUUGGAACGACACUUCGGUAGAGUGAAGAAACGGAAAGCGGCGGACGGGUGAGUAACGCGUAGGUAACCUGCCCCAUACACAGGGAUAGCCUAGGGAAACCUGGAUUAAUACCUGAUAAUGCGAAGGAGUCACAUGACUCUUACGCCAAAGAUUUAUCGGUAUGGGAUGGACCUGCGUCUGAUUAGUUAGUUGGUGAGGUAACGGCUCACCAAGGCAGCGAUCAGUAGCCGACCUGAGAGGGUAAUCGGCCACAUUGGAACUGAGACACGGUCCAAACUCCUACGGGAGGCAGCAGUGGGGAAUAUUGCACAAUGGGCGCAAGCCUGAUGCAGCAACGCCGCGUGAGCGAAGAAGGUCUUCGGAUCGUAAAGCUCUGUCCUUAGGGAAGAAACAAAUGACGGUACCUAAGGAGGAAGCCCCGGCUAACUACGUGCCAGCAGCCGCGGUAAUACGUAGGGGGCGAGCGUUAUCCGGAAUUAUUGGGCGUAAAGAGUACGUAGGUGGUUUUGUAAGCGUGGGGUGAAAGACCGAAGCUUAACUUCGGUUAGCCUUGCGAACUGCAAGACUUGAGUGCAGGAGAGGAAAGUGGAAUUCCUAGUGUAGCGGUGAA